UCAGCGACUGAUAUUCUGUAGCAAGGUUAACCGAAUAGGGGAGCCGGAGGGAAACCGAGUCUUAAUUGGGCGUUAAGUUGCAGGGUAUAGACCCGAAACCCGGUGAUCUAGCCAUGGGCAGGUUGAAGGUUGGGUAACACUAACUGGAGGACCGAACCGACUAAUGUUGAAAAAUUAGCGGAUGACCUGUGGCUGGGGGUGAAAGGCCAAUCAAACCGGGAGAUAGCUGGUUCUCCCCGAAAGCUAUUUAGGUAGCGCCUCGUGAAUUCAUCUCCGGGGGUAGAGCACUGUUUCGGCUAGGGGGCCAUCCCGGCUUACCAACCCGAUGCAAACUGCGAAUACCGGAGAAUGUUAUCACGGGAGACACACGGCGGGUGCUAACGUCCGUCGUGAAGAGGGAAACAACCCAGACCGCCAGCUAAGGUCCCAAAGUCAUGGUUAAGUGGGAAACGAUGUGGGAAGGCCCAGACAGCCAGGAUGUUGGCUUAGAAGCAGCCAUCAUUUAAAGAAAGCGUAAUAGCUCACUGGUCGAGUCGGCCUGCGCGGAAGAUGUAACGGGGCUAAACCAUGCACCGAAGCUGCGGCAGCGACGCUGAUGCGUUGUUGGGUAGGGGAGCGUUCUGUAAGCCUGCGAAGGUGGCCUGUGAGGGUUGCUGGAGGUAUCAGAAGUGCGAAUGCUGACAUAAGUAACGAUAAAGCGGGUGAAAAGCCCGCUCGCCGGAAGACCAAGGGUUCCUGUCCAACGUUAAUCGGGGCAGGGUGAGUCGACCCCUAAGGCGAGGCCGAAAGGCGUAGUCGAUGGGAAACGGGUUAAUAUUCCCGUACUUGGUGUUACUGCGAAGGGGGGACGGAGAAGGCUAUGUUGGCCGGGCGACGGUUGUCCCGGUUUAAGCGUGUAGGUGUGUGUUCCAGGUAAAUCCGGUUCACUUUAACACUGAGGCGUGAUGACGAGGCACUACGGUGCUGAAGCAACAAAUGCCCUGCUUCCAGGAAAAGCCUCUAAGCAUCAGGUAACAUCAAAUCGUACCCCAAACCGACACAGGUGGUCAGGUAGAGAAUACCAAGGCGCUUGAGAGAACUCGGGUGAAGGAACUAGGCAAAAUGGUGCCGUAACUUCGGGAGAAGGCACGCUGACACGUAGGUGAAGUGAUUUACUCAUGGAGCUGAAGUCAGUCGAAGAUACCAGCUGGCUGCAACUGUUUAUUAAAAACACAGCACUGUGCAAACACGAAAGUGGACGUAUACGGUGUGACGCCUGCCCGGUGCCGGAAGGUUAAUUGAUGGGGUCAGCGCAAGCGAAGCUCCUGAUCGAAGCCCCGGUAAACGGCGGCCGUAACUAUAACGGUCCUAAGGUAGCGAAAUUCCUUGUCGGGUAAGUUCCGACCUGCACGAAUGGCGUAAUGAUGGCCAGGCUGUCUCCACCCGAGACUCAGUGAAAUUGAACUCGCUGUGAAGAUGCAGUGUACCCGCGGCAAGACGGAAAGACCCCGUGAACCUUUACUAUAGCUUGACACUGAACAUUGAGCCUUGAUGUGUAGGAUAGGUGGGAGGCUUUGAAGUGUGGACGCCAGUCUGCAUGGAGCCGGCCUUGAAAUACCACCCUUUAAUGUUUGAUGUUCUAACGUGGACCCGUGAUCCGGGUUGCGGACAGUGUCUGGUGGGUAGUUUGACUGGGGCGGUCUCCUCCUAAAGAGUAACGGAGGAGCACGAAGGUUGGCUAAUCCUGGUCGGACAUCAGGAGGUUAGUGCAAUGGCAUAAGCCAGCUUGACUGCGAGCGUGACGGCGCGAGCAGGUGCGAAAGCAGGUCAUAGUGAUCCGGUGGUUCUGAAUGGAAGGGCCAUCGCUCAACGGAUAAAAGGUACUCCGGGGAUAACAGGCUGAUACCGCCCAAGAGUUCAUAUCGACGGCGGUGUUUGGCACCUCGAUGUCGGCUCAUCACAUCCUGGGGCUGAAGUAGGUCCCAAGGGUAUGGCUGUUCGCCAUUUAAAGUGGUACGCGAGCUGGGUUUAGAACGUCGUGAGACAGUUCGGUCCCUAUCUGCCGUGGGCGCUGGAGAACUGAGGGGGGCUGCUCCUAGUACGAGAGGACCGGAGUGGACGCAUCACUGGUGUUCGGGUUGUCAUGCCAAUGGCACUGCCCGGUAGCUAAAUGCGGAAGAGAUAAGUGCUGAAAGCAUCUAAGCACGAAACUUGCCCCGAGAUGAGUUCUCCCUGAGACUU
rnacentral:rRNA from 1 species